rnacentral:rRNA from 1 species
CCUUGGCGGCGUGCUUACACAUGCAAGUCGAACGGUGAAGCAGAGCUUGCUCUGUGGAUCAGUGGCGAACGGGUGAGUAACACGUGAGCAACCUGCCCCUGACUCUGGGAUAAGCGCUGGAAACGGCGUCUAAUACUGGAUAUGUGACGUGGCCGCAUGGUCUGCGUCUGGAAAGAAUUUCGGUUGGGGAUGGGCUCGCGGCCUAUCAGCUUGUUGGUGAGGUAAUGGCUCACCAAGGCGUCGACGGGUAGCCGGCCUGAGAGGGUGACCGGCCACACUGGGACUGAGACACGGCCCAGACUCCUACGGGAGGCAGCAGUGGGGAAUAUUGCACAAUGGGCGAAAGCCUGAUGCAGCAACGCCGCGUGAGGGAUGACGGCCUUCGGGUUGUAAACCUCUUUUAGCAGGGAAGAAGCGAAAGUGACGGUACCUGCAGAAAAAGCGCCGGCUAACUACGUGCCAGCAGCCGCGGUAAUACGUAGGGCGCAAGCGUUAUCCGGAAUUAUUGGGCGUAAAGAGCUCGUAGGCGGUUUGUCGCGUCUGCUGUGAAAUCCGGAGGCUCAACCUCCGGCCUGCAGUGGGUACGGGCAGACUAGAGUGCGGUAGGGGAGAUUGGAAUUCCUGGUGUAGCGGUGGAAUGCGCAGAUAUCAGGAGGAACACCGAUGGCGAAGGCAGAUCUCUGGGCCGUAACUGACGCUGAGGAGCGAAAGGGUGGGGAGCAAACAGGCUUAGAUACCCUGGUAGUCCACCCCGUAAACGUUGGGAACUAGUUGUGGGGUCCAUUCCACGGAUUCCGUGACGCAGCUAACGCAUUAAGUUCCCCGCCUGGGGAGUACGGCCGCAAGGCUAAAACUCAAAGGAAUUGACGGGGACCCGCACAAGCGGCGGAGCAUGCGGAUUAAUUCGAUGCAACGCGAAGAACCUUACCAAGGCUUGACAUAUACGAGAACGGGCCAGAAAUGGUCAACUCUUUGGACACUCGUAAACAGGUGGUGCAUG